rnacentral:sRNA from 1 species
CGGGUUCGUUCGAUUCCACCUCCGUCUCCGUCGUCUCAGCUUCUCCCGAAGCAAAGGGUACGAGGUUUAGUAAGCGGAGAGGAUAGCCGCUAGA